GCCUUUGCUGUCACCCCUGCCAAGCCCUACCAAACCCUGUCAGCCCCCACCAAGGCCCUCUCAAGCUUCACCAAGGCCUGUCAACCCCCUACCGAGACCUAUCAGCUCUAUAAUCUGAAAAAAGUGCAGUGUCUUAGGAGGGAUUGAUUAAGUAAACAGUGACUUAUGGCCAAAAUGGAACUAUAUGGAGAUUAAGUAGAGAUUAGAAUAGAAGCUGAAAUUGAGCAGGAUAGUUACAAUCACAGACUUCCAACUUGCUACUCCUUGGUGUGAAAGAAUCUGCAGGAAAUUAAGUACAUGGCAACUCCUGUUAGUCCCUCAUGUGUUCUUGAAAGCAGACUGACAGAUUCAGUGUGUGACAUGCUGACGUGGGGGAAGGCUGUCUGGUGGCUGCUCUAUGCUGUAGCUAACAAAAUGGUUGUGUUUCAAGUGUUGUCAUGCCUGGAAAGUCUACAGGUCAUCAUUACUAGUAUAAAUGUGUACUACAAUGGUGAAAUUUAGUGAAAAAAUGUGCUGUUUAUGUAUUGGCAGGGAAAGAUUUGUGCUCAUCAAGACAAUGAUAAAAAAAAUUUUUAUAUUAUUAUUAUUAUUACUAUUUUUUUUCUUUUACUUGUUUUGCUGUAAGAUGAGACUACAAUAACUGCCCCUUGAUGCCCUAUAAGGUACCGCCAAGCACCAAGGGGCGGCCACCACGGUGUACAGUGAAGCACGUCCCAGCAUCCCUGUCACCAUCUUUUCCCUGCCAAUAAUUAUGCAUUACAUUUCCCAACUAAUUUCAUUCUAGUACAACAUUUCUACUACUAAUGGUGGCCUGGUUAAUCUGUUAAGGGAGCACUUUGUUCAACAUCUUUAAAAUAUUAUUUGAUCAUCACCUGUAUCUCUCACCUGAUGAUAUAGAUAGGCUGGGUGUAGGUAACAACUUUCAACCUCUCCUCAGUGAUGGACAAUUCAGAGACAGUGAGGUCAGCUUCCCCUGACUGCAGAGCUCCUACCGUGCCCGUCCACUCGUUGCUUGAGCUGUCCUUCAGUUUCCCAGGGGCAGUCGGUCUGUACAUGCGUGAGGUGGCGAGGGGCGUGGCCAGGGGGCGGCUAGUAGCGUGUGCCACCAUGGAAAUAUGUACAGACAUAAAGAAGACGCCCUCAAGAAAGAGGGGCAGUCGGUCUGUACAUGCGUGAGGUGGCGAGGGGCGUGGCCAGGGGGCGGCUAGUAGCGUGUGCCACCAUGGAAAUAUGUACAGACAUAAAGAAGACGCCCUCAAGAAAGAGGGGCAGUCGGUCUGUACAUGCGUGAGGUGGCGAGGGGCGUGGCCAGGGGGCGGCUAGUAGCGUGUGCCACCAUGGAAAUAUGUACAGACAUAAAGAAGACGCCCUCAAGAAAGAGGGGCAGUCGGUCUGUACAUGCGUGAGGUGGCGAGGGGCGUGGCCAGGGGGCGGCUAGUAGCGUGUGCCACCAUGGAAAUAUGUACAGACAUAAAGAAGACGCCCUCAAGAAAGAGGGGCAGUCGGUCUGUACAUGCGUGAGGUGGCGAGGGGCGUGGCCAGGGGGCGGCUAGUAGCGUGUGCCACCAUGGAAAUAUGUACAGACAUAAAGAAGACGCCCUCAAGAAAGAGGGGCAGUCGGUCUGUACAUGCGUGAGGUGGCGAGGGGCGUGGCCAGGGGGCGGCUAGUAGCGUGUGCCACCAUGGAAAUAUGUACAGACAUAAAGAAGACGCCCUCAAGAAAGACUACCCCAUCCCCUGCCUCCCGCUGUGCCCCACCCAGACACCACGGCCCAGCAGUGACGCCAUUCCACCUGCUACACGACGCUGGCUGACGCACUCCAGACGUGGCAGCAACAGGAGGUGGAGGGCAGGAGCAAGAGUCGGAUGGAUGGCGAAGGAAGGCAUGAUGGCGGAGCUGGUGGCUUUGGAGGGUGUUCGUGCAGGGUACCUCGGCAGGGUCUAGAUUAGAGCAAAUGGAUGAUGAGAGACUAGUAAGGUGUUUGUGUGGAAUAUUAGGAGUAGCAGUUGGGGGAACAAGUGUGUUAGGAUGGUAAUAAAGAAUGGCUUGGAAACUAGUUGUUGGGCUUUUGAGGGGUUGAGUGAAGCCUUGUUGAGAGUGAUGGAAGUAGGAUUGUCAGAAAUGGAGAGGGCUUACAAUGUUAUGUAACUAAGUGGACAAGUGAGAUAGACAGAGUGAUCAAGCACAUGGGACUGAGUGAGCCAAGUGUGGAAAUUCUGGGAUGGAGUGAGCCAGGUGUGGAAAAGUGUGGAAAUUGUGGGAUUGAGUGAGCCAUGUGUGGAAAUUGUGUAGAAAAGUGUGGAAAUAGUGUGGAGAAGGUGUGGAAAAAAUGUGGAAAUUGUGGGGUUGAGUGAGCCAGGUGUGGACAAGUGAGAUAGACAGAGCGAUGAAGCAUGUGGGGUUGAGUGAGCCAGGUGUGUGCGUCACUUGGGGAUGACUGUGAGCUAACCUGGGACCAAUGGUUGAUGACGCUCACUGAUGGAAUUAGAAGCUGCAUGAAUUGUUUAUGUAGAUUUUAGAAGCUGUCUCAAUUGUUUGUGUAGAUCUGAAGCACUUACUUUGAAUUGAAGGCUUGGACCAUGUAAUAUCUUUGUAAUUCUUCUGUAUCUCUGUCAUAAGUUCCUUAGAUAACUCACUACUGUUUUUGUCUCUAUAUAAUAAUAUGUACAUUUACUCAAACUGCAUUUCCUUUCAGUGUGCAGGUUGGCAGUAAACCUCCCUGAAGGUUCCAGAACUGCUCACCAAGUGUCCAGCCCAGCCUGUCACAAGACUAUGUGACAGUGGACCUUCCACUCAUACUGAAAACAGCUGUGCACUGCCACUCACAGGAAGUGGUGACCACUCUAGAUUGAGUUGUCUUGAAGCUGAGAUGAGUUGGUCGGGUAAUGAGUGACUUGCAUCAAGUGACCGUGAGGUGUUGGACGUGAUAUUGUGUUAUUGCAAGUGUAACCAGUAAUAACAGCGUUCGACCGUUUCUCUAGGGGCAAGCGACACCUCCUGGUGGGGGACUUCAAAUCUGCUGUCGCUGCCUUCGAGGAGGCAACAGAGUCCCUGGUGGAGCUGUGUGGGGAGCAGGCGCCCGAGUGUGGUGACGCGUACUGCCGCUGUGGCCGUGCAUUGCUGGAGCUGGCACGCAAGGAGGCAGGGGUGCUGGGGCCAGAUCUGGAUGGUGCCAGUAGUCAGGAGGGAAGCACAGGGGAAGAGGAGGACGAGGAGGAAGAGAGUUAAGAGUCACAAGAGGAGGAGGAAGGUGGAAAGAAAGAGGAAGGAGAGGAGGAGGAGGAGGAGGAGGAAGAUGGAGAAGGAAAGGAGAAAGAUAAGAAGGAAGGAAAUGCUGCAGAAGGAGAAGAGCAAUAAGACAUUAGAAUUGACAGAGAAACCAGACAAGGGACUGCAUUUGAAGAAGCACAAGAACCAAGAAAUUACAUCAUUCAAUGAAAUGACAACAUAAUCUAAAAUAGAAAUAAAAAACGUCACAAGACAGAAUAGUGAGCUGCAUGCACUUAUCACAGAGUAUAAAGUCACUCCCUCAGAGGAAAAAGACAAGGAUGGCAUGUCUUCAUGUGAGAACUCAGAAGCUAAAUGUACAGAUACCAAGGGGAAAUUGCUGGGUCAAGUGGCUACACUGACAUCUGAGGUUAGCAGGUUGGAGAGUGAGUGCAGCAGUCUUCAGGUUCAGCUAGACUGUGAGAGGGAUAAGUAUAACAAACUGCUGGGAGAAUCUCUUGCUCAUGAAAAGUUGUCUGAAGAUGUCAUAACUGAACCAAAAGGAGAAACAACAGGAUUGGGAGGAACUGAGCUUUAACAGAAGCUGCAACAACUGCAGGAGGCUCACAGGGUCCUGGAGAGCAGGUUAACUUGCAGCAUGAAGGAGGUGGCUGAGCUAAGUGACAGGAAGUAGCAGCUUAAGCAUGCUGUAGUGCAUGAGGAGACAGAGUCCAUCGGUGUAUGCAUGUUUUUUGCUCAUUUGAAUCAUCUGUAAAAGUGAAGUGGAGGAAGUGUUUACUGUUUACUGUAUGCCAUUUCCUUGGUCUUUUAAUGAAGAAUUUUAUCCUUCUUCAGGUGACUACAUCACCAUCUACCAGUUGCAGCGAGGAGUGAUGAAGCAACAAGCUCGAGAACGCGAGUUAGACCUUGCCAGCCUCCAUCAUGAAUGAGAGGAAAUGAAGCAAAACCACUCUGCAGGAUUUGAUAUCAAAGCUGGUGCAGGAAAAGGAAGCAGAUCAUGACCUUCAGCAGCUCGAGAAGAUAAGCAGCGUCCUUAAGAGUCCAGUUGCUAUCUUUAGCAGUGUUGGAACCAGUGAGUCUGAGACACCCACCACCAGUGGAAAGGUGGCUGACGAGCGCCUCAAGCACUCUGAAAAGGUGGAGCAACAACAAGAAACAGAAAAUUGCAUCCAUCAUUCUUUGCCUGAGGAGGGAAUUGAUGCUCUGUUGACCCUUCACACUGAUGUCCCUCAUGAGGAGGGGAGAAUAUGAAUCCUACAGAACUUGCCCAUAGGAAGACCAAAACUGUUACUGCUGCCACACUGCCACCACUUCCACUGACACCAAAAGCCCAACUGUGCAGAGAAUCCUGGACCUCCGCAAUGAAAUGGAGUCCACCAGUCACCUGGAGCACUUUAGCCUCCAAAAGUUCCAUCCGUGUCCAUUGUGUUUGGGUAAACUUAUCACUGUAUAAGGGGACAAGUAUCAGUGUAUGGUUACUAUAUACUCAUUUGUACUUAAAGAUGUCAUGUCACAUCAUUCUCUCUCUCUCUCUCUCUCUCUCUCUCUCUCUCUCUCUCUCUCUCUCUCUCUCUCUCUCUCUCUCUCUCUCUCUCUCUCUCUCUCUCUCUCUCUCUCUCUCUCUCUCUCUCUCUCUCUCUCUCUCUCUUUCUUUCUUUCUUUCUUUCUUUCUUUCUUUUGUUGCAUAUGUUACUGCUUUACAUUCCUCCCCACAGUAUUUUUUCAUCUACUUUAUGACUGCAGUAGUUUUAUCAUCCCAGUGUAUGCUGUAUCCACUCUGAAACUGUAAUUCACCAAUCAGCUCAAAUGUGUCUCUGUUUUGAUAAUCAUUAAUUUGUUUCAGCUACACAACCACUCUGAUAAGGGACAAAAUCUACUUCACCAGUCAUCUAUGUCAUACAGUCAUAUAUAUUCAUACAUAUGACAAAAUACUCUUCCUAAGACAUUUCUUAUUUUCUCUUCUCAAGUGACCUGUCCAUCUAUCUAAGGUACCACAUAACAUUUAAAACUUACAAUAUUGUGUUUAAUUCAUGAACACUUUUUUGUCUAUCUAUGGAGACUUGCGUAUAGACUUGAAAUGUAUUGGGAGUUUUCUUUAUCUCUCAUUCUAUACCUAACACCUGUUCCUAAGAAUCCCCAGGUGAUAGCCAUGGUGACUGGCUGGUCUCCUACUGAGUGGCUGGGGUUUUCCAAAAGUGAGGGUUGGUGUUCCAUACCAUACCAUGUGCCCUGUUUGUAUUCCUUCUUUGUCCUCUGUAUUAUAUUCUAUGUAAAGAUGGUGCUGGGGUGGGAUCUACUUCUUAUUCCCUAAAAGUGAUGAGGAGUGACACUGGGCAGCAUUAAUUUGCUCCUUAGAGAUGGCUGGGUUCCUGUGGAUGAGUGGGCCAUGCUGUGCUUUGUCAAGGAUGGUGUUUGGUAUUGUGAUGACUCUUGCCACAAUCAAGUGCCUCCCACAGAGUAGUGGAGUACCUAUGUAUGGUGUUGACCCAAGCUGUCCAGGUCUCAUCCAAUGCCUUAAUAUGAUUUAGAUGAUCAAAAUGGUUUAACUCACCAUUUAAUCAGCUGACUGAUUUGAAUGGAGAAGUAUGUAAUGUGUUGUAGCCUAACCAUCCCUGCCAGCAUGGUCAGAUUCUUGGUAGUAACCUGAAAUGCUCCUAGGUAGUGAGUAUCAUUGCACAUAAUGAUCUUUACUUUGUCAGUAAUUCAAUGAUACUGAAUAUUACUCUACUGGAUUUUGCUCACCACUGCUUGGUAACUUUUGGCCAUAAUCCCAGGUCUGGAAUGAUAUGAAGCCAUGUUUUUACAUUCCAUAUGAGACAGGCAAGCACUAUGCUUUGCCUGACUGAUACCUGUACUUUACAUUUAUGACCCCAGGUAGUUCAUCAUCUCUCUCUCUCUCUCUCUCUCUCUCUCUCUCUGUUUGGAAUUAUACUGUAUAUUAGGAAAUAUCAUUAAAGAGUGUGUGUGUAAAAAGUGUUUGCAUUAUUGUGCAUUUGAUGUUAUAGCCCCAGGUUCUUAAAGUUUUCUAGUUUCAUGAUUUAUAAAGAUUGCUAUUUUUAAUAAAGUUAUUGAAAUUGUUA